rnacentral:rRNA from 1 species
GACGAACGCUGGCGGCGUGCCUAAUACAUGCAAGUAGAACGCACAGUUUAUACCGUAGCUUGCUACACCAUAGACUGUGAGUUGCGAACGGGUGAGUAACGCGUAGGUAACCUGCCUGGUAGCGGGGGAUAACUAUUGGAAACGAUAGCUAAUACCGCAGAAUAUUAAUUAUUGCAUGAUAAUUAAUUGAAAGGUGCAAUUGCACCACUACCAGAUGGACCUGCGUUGUAUUAGCUAGUAGGUGAGGUAACGGCUCACCUAGGCGACGAUACAUAGCCGACCUGAGAGGGUGAUCGGCCACACUGGGACUGAGACACGGCCCAGACUCCUACGGGAGGCAGCAGUAGGGAAUCUUCGGCAAUGGACGAAAGUCUGACCGAGCAACGCCGCGUGAGUGAAGAAGGUUUUCGGAUCGUAAAGCUCUGUUGUAAGAGAAGAACGGGUGUGAGAGUGGAAAGUUCACACUGUGACGGUAUCUUACCAGAAAGGGACGGCUAACUACGUG